GAGAAAGGCUUCAAGAGUAAACCCUGAGGAAAAGUACGUAUCUGUUGCCUUUGGGAGAAGAAAAGGCUGAGGAGUAAACCCUACACUAAGACGUUUGGAUGGCGUCUUGAACACCUCUUUCCAUCAACUCUUGCAGUCAAGCUGGUGCCAGAUGUAUUGCUUUCCUUUCCUUUGGUCCAUAUCUGUGAGGCCAAGAGACAGGGUCUUGUCUGGGCAGCCCAGGAGCUCCACACACACUGCCCGGGUUUGCAACCCAAUGAGGACUGAAAGGAUGCUGGUUGUUCGUUAAUGAACUUCUUCAAUUGUACAUCUAAAGAUUUACACAAAAUAUUCCAGAACUCACAAAGGGAGGAGGAUAUUCAGAAACACAACAUAACAGACAUGAUACAAGCAGUGGUUUGGCAGCAUCAAAACAACAUGCAACUCCCCACUUGUGUGGGGAUUCUGUUCCUGGUGGCCACCCACAUCAGCUGGACACACGUAAGU